GAUGAAGAACGCAGCGAAAUGCGAUAAGUAAUGUGAAUUGCAGAAUUCAGUGAAUCAUCGAAUCUUUGAACGCACAUUGCGCCCCCUGGUAUUCCGGGGGGCAUGCCUGUUCGAGCGUCAUUUCACCACUCAAGCCUCGCUUGGCAUUGGGCAACGCGGUCCGCCGCGUGCCUCAAAUCGACCGGCUGGGUCUUCUGUCCCCUAAGCGUUGUGGAAACUAUUCGCUAAAGGGUGUUCGGGAGGCUACGCCGUAAAACAACCCCAUUUCUAAGGUUGACCUCGGAUCAGGUAGGGAUACCCGCUGAACUUAAGCAUAUCAAUAAGCGGAGGA
rnacentral:misc_RNA from 1 species